ensembl:snRNA U2 U2 spliceosomal RNA
AUCGCUUCUUGGCCUUUUGGCUAAGAUCAAGUGUAAUAUUUAUGCAAAGCGUGCAUUUUUAAAUUACUUCCAGAAUCAAAGUUAUUAGAAGUAAGCUCUUGAAAGAUCAGAUUCAAUUUUCAAGGGGUACAAAGCAUACCUGUAUUUUAUCCUACAUUCU